CUUGCACAAGCUCCAAUGUAGAAUGAGAGAGCACCUUAUUUAUUACCUCACAUCUUAUUGGACAAACUAGAUACAACCCAUUGGAGUAGUUGUAUGUUAAGGUGUUAGCUGAUGACAUGGCAUAUUUUACCAACAAGCUAACCAACAAACUGUUGGAGAUGUCCUAAACAAGCGUCAGUCGCACCGGCGCAGGAAUAGAAUAUGCCAUCCAACCGAAGCAUCCAGAUCCAAGCAUGCACACGAUCCAAAGCGUUCAUCCCUUUCCCUUUCCCACAGCGAUUUUCUUUUCUUUAUCUCUUGAGCAGCCCUACUGCCUCUACAUACACAUAUGUGGCGUAUGCGGAUUUCAUGGCCCC
rnacentral:lncRNA from 1 species